UCAAACUUGGUCAUUUAGAGGAAGUAAAAGUCGUAACAAGGUCUCCGUUGGUGAACCAGCGGAGGGAUCAUUACCGAGUUUACAACUCCCAAACCCCUGUGAACAUACCUUAUCGUUGCUUCGGCGGGAUUGCCCCGGCGCCAUCGCGGCCCGGACCCAGGCGCCCGCCGGAGGACCCAAACCCUUGAAUUUAUGAAGUAUCUUCUGAGUAAACAAGCAAAUAAAUUAAAACUUUCAACAACGGAUCUCUUGGUUCUGGCAUCGAUGAAGAACGCAGC
rnacentral:misc_RNA from 1 species